rfam:Ipomoea nil DNA, scaffold: scaffold2053, cultivar: Tokyo-kokei standard.
GAGAGCACAGUACGAUGAAAGUUGUAAACUGUGUUUGGGGGGGGGGGGGGGGGGGGGAAUUAUUGUCCAUCGUUGGCCUCUAUGGUAGAAUCAGUCGGGGACCUGAGAGGCUGUGGUUUACCCUGC